rnacentral:rRNA from 1 species
CACGUAGGGCGCAAGCGUUGUCCGGAAUUAUUGGGCGUAAAGAGCUCGUAGGCGGUUGGGUAAGUCGGGGGUGAAAACUCCAGGCUCAACUUGGAGACGCCACCCGAUACUGCUCUGACUUGAGUUCGGUAGGGGAGUGGGGAAUUCCUGGUGUAGCGGUGAAAUGCGCAGAUAUCAGGAGGAACACCGGUGGCGAAGGCGCCACUCUGGGCCGAAACUGACGCUGAGGAGCGAAAGCGUGGGUAGCAAACAGG